rnacentral:rRNA from 1 species
GACGAACGCUGGCGGCGUGCUUAACACAUGCAAGUCGAACGGAAAGGCCCUGCUUGCAGGGUGCUCGAGUGGCGAACGGGUGAGUAACACGUGGGUGAUCUGCCCCUUACUUUGGGACAAGCCUGGGAAACUGGGUCUAAUACUGGAUAGGACCAUGCUGUAGGUGGUGUGGUGGAAAGAUUAGUUUCGGUAAGGGAUGAGCUCGCGGCCUAUCAGCUUGUUGGUGGGGUAAUGGCCUACCAAGGCGUCGACGGGUAGCCGGCCUGAGAGGGUGGACGGCCACAUUGGGACUGAGAUACGGCCCAGACUCCUACGGGAGGCAGCAGUGGGGAAUAUUGCACAAUGGGCGCAAGCCUGAUGCAGCGACGCCGCGUGGGGGAUGACGGCCUUCGGGUUGUAAACUCCUUUCAGCCAUGACGAAGCCCUUGUGGUGACGGUAGUGGUAGAAGAAGCACCGGCUAACUACGUG